rnacentral:rRNA from 1 species
UACGAAGGGGGCUAGCGUUGUUCGGAAUUACUGGGCGUAAAGCGUGCGCAGGCGGCUUCUCAAGUCAGGGGUGAAAGCCCAGAGCUCAACUCUGGAAUUGCCUUUGAGACUGAGUGGCUUGAGUACGAGAGAGGUGAGUGGAAUUCCCAGUGUAGAGGUGAAAUUCGUGGAUAUUGGGAAGAACACCGGUGGCGAAGGCGGCUCACUGGCUCGUAACUGACGCUCAUGCACGACAGCGUGGGGAUCAAACAGG